GGCCACUUGCGUGGCGGCCAUCCGGCCCAUCCCGGCGCCCUAGAAGACGCCCUCACCCCUCCGCCGAAACCCUAACACGCCAAAUCCCCUCUAUCGCCCUCUCCAUCUCGAAUUGGUUCGAUCCCGAGCGCAACAGUCGCCGAGCCUCGUCGUUGAUGUGGCUACCGGAGCCACCCCGAGCCGUCCCAGGUGUUCUGCAGCUACACCAAGAUCGUCUCCGUCGCCUACCGCACUGGAUCGAGCUCUGGGAGCAACGUUGACGCCGCCCUCAUUGUUUGUCUUCGCCGCGGCCUCGCCGUUGAUCCGCAUCACCUCGUCCACCCCGGCCCAGUACGAGCUCACCACCGACCUCCUCUCGACACCGAUACCGACGCCGCUGCAACCCAGUACGACUACGGUGUUGACGACCUCUCUCUCUUGCCAGAGCAACCAGGCAAGCCCCCCCUGAUCACCAGAUAUCGCC
rnacentral:rRNA from 1 species